UAAUUGAAGAGUUUGAUCAUGGCUCAGAUUGAACGCUGGCGGCAGGCCUAACACAUGCAAGUCGAACGGCAGCGGGAAGUAGCUUGCUACUUUGCCGGCGAGUGGCGGACGGGUGAGUAAUGUCUGGGAAACUGCCCGAUGGAGGGGGAUAACUACUGGAAACGGUAGCUAAUACCGCAUGACGUCUUCGGACCAAAGAGGGGG
rnacentral:ncRNA from 1 species